rnacentral:sRNA from 2 species
UAGGCAACGACCCGAAGGGCGAAGCGCGCAGCGCUGAGUAAUCCUUCCCCCACCACCA